rnacentral:rRNA from 1 species
UUUUUAUUUUGCUAUUACUGUGAUUCUACUAGUCACAAUCCAUUACUCGGCCUGCACACGUUUUCUUCGACAGAUAUUUGUUUCAUUCUUCUACUUUUCUUUACCCUUGCAACACGUUCAGGGCGAGACAGCCCACCAUUGUUUGUUAAGUCAAGUCAAUAGUGUAGCAUAACUCCAGGCCCAUUCCUUCUGGCAGACAAAUCCUUUAAAUGGCAUCCACAUUCUACACACAAGAUCUCCGAAGCUCCAACCUAAAGUUCUCCCAACUUCCUGGUUCUUCCACAUCCUGUAAGCUCUGAACAUCAUGCCCUCAUUUUUGUCUCUACUCUGUAUUUUUCUCAUCCUUUUCUCCUUCAACACUACAACAAUCGAAGCAGCACAAGGAAACAAGUCCGAGAUUGAUCGGCAAGCCCUCCUUUGCUUCAAGUCCGGCAUCAAUUCUUAUCCCCAUGGCAUCCUAAAUUCAUGGAGUGAUGACUCACUUCACUUUUGCAGCUGGAAAGGGGUCACUUGCAGCACAAAGUUUCCACCCCGGGUGGUCUCUCUUAACCUCACCUCUACUCGUCUCAGUGGGAAAAUUUCUGGAUGUGUAGGCAACUUGACCUUUCUAUCAUCGAUGAACCUUGCCGAUAAUGAUCUGUCGGGAACCAUCCCUGAAGAGUUGGGUAAGCUCCCAAACCUCCAUACGCUGAAUCUUGCCAAUAAUAGUCUGACCGGUGGUAUCCCUCUCUCAUUGACCAAUUGUUCCUCACUCAGCACACUUAUACUGUCUCGUACUUUGUUUGAUAACUUAUCUAAGCUUACUAAGGUUGAUCUCCAGAAGAAUUCUUUCACGGGACUCAUCCCACGUUUCCAUAAGGUCACAGCACUCAAACUUCUUUGCCUGACAGAGAACUUCCUCUCUGGAAGCAUACCUCCUUCAAUAGGAAAUGUUUCUUCCCUGACAUCUAUAUUGCUCGGCCAAAAUAAGCUAUCAGGAUUAAUUCCAGAAACUAUAGGUCACACUACAAAACUACUUGAGCUUGACCUAAGUUUCAACAGUUUAUCAGGUAAUGUCCCGGUUUCUCUUUAUAACAUGUCAUCACUCAAAAACUUUAGUGUUGGCAGCAAUGCCCUUGUUGGACAGUUACCAUCUAACAUUGGUUACUCGCUACCAAACCUCCAGUCCCUAAUCCUGGGAAGCAACAGGCUGGAGGGCCUGAUCCCUGCUUCACUAGCCAACAUGUUAAAUCUUCAAAUACUUGAUCUUUCAAACAACUCGUUACAUGGCUCUGUGCCAUCUCUUGGUUCGUUGACAAACUUGCGUCAGUUAGUUUUAGGGAGGAACUUGCUAGAAGCACAUGACUGGUCAUUUCUUACAUCUCUGGCAAGUUGCACCCAGCUGACAAAAUUGUCCUUGGAAGGGAAUGCUCUGAAUGGCAGCUUACCUAUAGCAGUUGUUAAUCUUUCCACAACGCUAGAAGAGUUAUCGCUUGCAUCAAACCAAAUUUCGGGCUCCAUACCUGUUGAGAUUAGCAAUCUUGUUAAUCUCACUUCGCUUAGGAUGGAAAGCAAUUUUCUUUCGGGAAGGAUACCAUCUACCAUUGGGAAACUGCAAUACCUAUAUAUCCUAAGUCUAUCGAACAACAAAUUAUCAGGUCAGAUCCCUCCCUCAGUUGGUGACAUCACUCAAUUGGGCAAGCUUUAUCUUGAUGAUAACAACUUGAGUGGAAACAUACCUGGUAAUUUAGGUCAGUGCAAGGGACUUCUUGAACUAAACUUGUCUCGGAACAAUCUCAAUGGGUCAGUACCAGCCAAACUGUUUGAUAAUCCUCCAUUUUCCUUCGGUCUAGACUUCUCACAUAACAAUCUCACUGGGGAACUGCCUUUUGGUACACAUGGUGCUGGUUAUGGUCCAACAUCCCUUCACAUGGAAGGAAACAAGUUUCGUGGACAAAUCCCAGCAAGCUGGAACUCACUAUUAUCAACCCAGCAGAUUAAUCUUUCUCACAAUGACUUAUCUGGUACUGUGCCUGAAUUCUUUGAGCACCUUAGUAUGCUGGAGCAACUUGAUCUGUCUUACAACAACUUGGAAGGGGCUGUUCCUACAAGUGGGAUCUUUGAGAAUUCUGCCGCAGUAGUUUUGGAUGGAAACAAGGGACUCUGUUCGAAUUCCUCGAGGCUAGCAUUACCAAUUUGUCCUGGCAUCUCAGCAGCAAAUAAAACAAAGCACCAUAAGUCCAAGCACCAUCGGUCCUUGCUGGCGACCUUGCUGCUAAUUGUACUACCCUCUGUUUUUAAGGCGUCCGUAAGGCGUCGCUUAGGCGACGCCUAGGCGUCAGGGCGCCCUCCAGGCUCAGGGCGUCGGCCUUGCCUUAGACAGUCGUGUAAGGCGUCCGCCUUAGGCUGUAAGGCGUCUGAAGCGUCCGCCUUAGCGCCACCUUGCACGCCUCAGACCAAAUCGGACGCCUUAGCUUGUCAGGCAGGGAAACAGAGAUUGCAGGCGGGAAAACUGACCUGGGCGGGAACACAGGCGCGGGAAACAUUGGUUCAGGUGCGACCAGUUAUGAGAAGGGGAAAGAGAGAGUGAAUCGACGUGAGAGGUCUCUCCUGUCUCCUCUCUGGACCAUUGACGGAGGCUUCCUCCUCAGAUCUGCGGCAGCCGCCAACCUCCUCCCUCCGGCCACAGUUCCUCCCCCUCCUCUCUGGCUGCAGCUCCUCCCCAUCCUCCUCUGGCGCAACCCUCUUCCAGCAGAUCAGCACCACAUCAAGUAGCCAGGUGUACCUGCUCUGAUGGAUCUAGCCAAUGAUCCUAGGAGAAGAGCUACAUCAGAUGAUCCAGCCUGGAAGUAUGGGUUCUGGCCAGAUUUAGAGAGGAAAGAUUUACUCCAGUGUACAUUGUGUGGCAAGAUAGUCCAUGGUGGAGUGAGAAGGCUAAAGCAGCACUUUUCUGGGGGUUCCAGUGAUGCGGAUAAGUGUCCCGAGGCAUCCAUGGAGAUUAGGAUAGAGAUGCACAAUUCCUUAAACACUAGAAAGUUUAAAGCUAUGGAGCGAUAUAUUGAUGAGGAGGAUGAAGCUGAACUUCAAAGGCGCCGUUCUGUCAUAUACACAAGAUGAUUUGAGGCCUAUGCUUUGGUAACAGUUUAUAUGUUAAUGUUAGUUGUUAAAUCUCCUAAUUGGUGGCCAUCUAUUAUAUAUGUAUGUACAAUUUAUUAAGUUAAUGCUAGUUGUUAAAUCUCCUAAUUGGCUGCCAUAUAUUAUAUAUGCACGUGUCUAAGGCGUCGCCUCGCCUUACGCUUUAGCGCUUAGGCGGUGAGGCGCCCCCCCAGCGCCUCGCCUCGCCUUACCGCCUUAAAAACAUAGGUACUACCACCACUUACUAUUUCUUCCCUAGUAUUGCUGUGGCUUCUGUUCACUCUUUGGGAUAGAGGGGUAUUAUUCACUCAUUGCAAGAAUUUGAUUUUAUCAUUUUCACCAUCGGACGUUUUGUCCAAGAUUUUUCGCCUUUUUGGCCAUCUCAAGCGAAGGGAAGUGCAUACAGUUCCGUCCCAUGAGGAGAAGCUGAAAAGAGUGUCAUACAGUGACAUCCUUGAAGCUACUGAUUGGUUUUCGUCGGGACACAAAAUAAGCUCAAGCUGUACUGGGUCGGUCUAUGUUGGGAGGUUCAAGUUUGAAAAUGAUCUGGUGGCUAUCAAAGUAUUCAACCUGAAUGAACCUGGCGCUAAUGAAAGUUUCUUUACUGAGUGUCAGGUGCUACGGAGCACACGCCAUCGAAACAUUCUGAAGUGUGUGACUUCAUGCUCGACGACGGACACAGAACGCAAUGAGCUCAAAGCACUAGUCUACCAAUUCAUGGCUAAUGGCAGCCUUGAAAGAUGGCUUCACCCUAAGCAACACAAUGGCACACCAAAUAGAACCCUAAGCUUACGGCUGAGGAUAUGCAUAGCCGUGGAUGUGGCCUCUGCUCUCGAUUAUCUUCACAACGAACUGACGCCGUCUUUGAUGCAUUGUGAUUUGAAGCCAAGCAACAUUCUUUUAGAUUAUGAUAUGACUGCACGUAUUGGAGACUUUGGUUCAGCAAAGUUUCUGUCGCCAGUUUUGGGUAGCCUAGAACACUUGAUCAGUUUCCGAGGAACAAUUGGAUACAUGGCACCUGAGUACGGAAUGGGUUGCCAGAUCUCAGCAGGAGGUGAUGUCUAUAGUUUUGGAGUGAUUCUACUGGAGUUGCUUACCGGAAAACGACCAACCGAUGAUAUGUUCGUGGAUGGGCUUAGCCUUUGUAAGUUUUGUCAAUCCAUGUUCCCAGACAGAGUUGCAGAGAUUCUAGAUCCUCAUGUGGCGCAUGAGGAGCAUCAGCGGUGCGAAGAAGUGGACGCGGAAGCAUGGAUGCAGCGAUAUAUUGUCCCGCUGGUUGCCCUAGGGCUGUCAUGUACCGUGGAAUCUCCCAAUGAUAGGCCUGGAAUGAAGGAUGUUUAUGCAAAACUAUCUGUUAUCAGAAGCUCUUUUCUGGAACGCCGUGAUGAUUGAUGAAUAUAUCAAUUCUGUUAGGGUGUACUAAAUUGUUAUUGUUAAGGAUGUAUUUUUGUAAUUACCAGAGUGUGUUUGCGUCCUGUACCCUAUCUAUUUGACAAAACUAAAACAAACUGUGUGGACAAAUAUGUGAUUUGCAACUAGGCAUAGUUGGAUAUUGGAAGCAUCACCAACCAUGCUUUGUUGUAGAUUUGUUUUUUUAAUAAUAUUUAUAUUGACAUGUAU